AGGUCAGCCACGGGAGCCAUUAUUGCAGGAUGCCACUCCGAGGUCUGCUUCUUCCAUCUGCCCCACAUCCAGCCGUGCAAGGGAGGAAUUGUCCGCUGCCUUCUGCUGAAAGCCGCCUUGCCUGAGCCGUCACACCCAACGGUCCAAUGCUCCCCAGAAACAGCUGCUGUUUUCUGAGAACAAUGAGCUGCUUGUGAGCCUGAGAACAGGAAGAAAGCGCCACUUCGCAAGCAGCCGUGAGGCUACAGGCGGCGGGCAUGGUUGCGGAUGGCAGGGGCCAGUGCUGUGGCAUAGUGGGUAAAGCUGCCACCUGCAGUGCUGCUAUCUCAUAUGGGCACCAGUUUGAGACCUGCCUGGCUGCUCCACUUUCGAUCCAGCUCUCUGGGGCCUGGGAAAGCAGUAGAAGAUGGCCCAAGUCUUUGGGCCCCUGCACCUACAUGGGAGACCCAGAAGAAGCUCCUGGCUCCUGGCUUUGGAUGGGUGCAGCUCUGGUCAUUGCGGCCAUCUGGAGAGUGAACCAGCAGAUGGAAGAUCUCUUUCUCUCUCUCUCUCUCUCUGCCUCCACCUCUCUGUAACUCUACCUUUUAAAUAAAUAAAUUUUUUAAAAAGUCUGAUUUCCAGGGCAUUACUCUCAAAAACUGUGGUGGAUGGAGCUUGGAAAUCUUUUUUUAAUACAAGUUAUAUUUUUAUUUUUUAAAUAUUUGCUUAUUUGAAAGGCAGAGUGACAGAGAGGAGAGACAGAGACACAGACAGACAUUGGUCAGGGCCGGCACCGUGGCACAGUAAGUUAAUCCUCCGCCUGAGGCGCCAACAUCCCAUAUAGGCGCCAGUUCUAGUCCUGGCUGCUCCACUUCUGAUCCAGCUCUUGGCUAUGGCCUGGGAAAGCAGUAGAAGAUGGCCCAAGUCCUUGGGCCCCUGCACCCACGUGGGAGACCUGGGAGAAGCUCCUGGCUCCCAGCUUCGGAUCAGCACAGCUCUGGCCAUUGCAGCCAUUUGGGGAGUGAACCAGUGGAUGGAAGACCUUUCUCU